GCCGUUGUAGCUCAAUGGACAGAGCAACCCCGUCCUAAGGGGUAGGUUGGGGGUUCGAUUCCUCUCAACGGCG
rfam:Candidatus Daviesbacteria bacterium RIFCSPHIGHO2_12_FTLL_37_11 rifcsphigho2_12_scaffold_1281, whole genome shotgun sequence.